ensembl:lincRNA
GUCCAAUCAGUGGUGUGCCUGCUGGAUGAAGCCAGAUUGAAUUUGAAGUUGGUGGUGUGUGACUACGCGCGUAGAUGGCUCUAAACGCAGUGAAUGUUUGCAUCGAUUAAAGAUGGACGAUUCGGUGAAAUUUUCGAAAGAUUUCUAUGAAGAGGUUGAUAAGAAUGCCGAUGCUUAUGAGAAUAAAUUGGAUGAGAUUUGUCAAAAGUACUCCCAAUUGGAAGAUGAUGAGGUGGUGUGUUUUUCAUCGAUGACGUGUUGCUCCUCAAAAGGAAUUAAGCCCUGGGAUGGAGCACCUCUAUCUGCCAAAUCCAGAGAAUGGAGCCCUGGUGCAGCCCAAGAGGUCUGGAAGGAUUGGCCUGAAGUUAAAGAAGAAUUGCAGAAUGGUUCAGUUUUGCCCUUGGAAACAGAAAACAUUUUAGGUGAAGGUAGAAGCAGUGCUCAGGAUAUGUCCUCUUAUGAAGAUAUUGAAGGUGCAUCAACACAAGGUUCAUUAAGACGUGACAUGACAGAUGAGAACGGUGAAUCCAGCAGCCUCUCAAGUAGCCAUGCAAACGGGUCCAGGGAGGAUGCAGAGCUGCAGUCAAGCACCAGUGAUAGUGCGAUGAUCAAUCUGUAUUCCCAGCUGAUGUCCCGGAUGAGCAGUGCCUUCCACAGAAAACACACCGCAGAGGCUGCAUUUAGUGUAGUGAAGUCCUAUAGGAAGCGCUUGUGGAAUGCCAACAGGUCCAUGUUAGACACUACUUUCAGUUUCAACCGCAAAGAGAAAUCAAAAAAGGACUCAAAGAACAAAUCCAGCAAUUCAAAGCUUGUACGGUUUUCUAAAUCCAGCCAAUGUGCAGUGCAGAGCAGUCCAGAGCAAUCAGACGUGAGGAGCAAUAGGACCUUCAUUAUUUCUGCUUCUGCCAAUCAUACAAGACAGUCACUCACUGUGGGUAGGAAGAGCCCUUUAAGUAAGCCAAGACAAGAGUUGCAAAUGUCUCCUGCUGCAAAAUCUGUUAAGGGCAAACAAAGUGAAUCCCAGACAACAAGUUUUUUAGUUUACUUUCCAAGAGCUAAUUCUGCAACAUACUGGAAAGAUUGCAUGAGUAAAUAUAUGGAUGUCAUGAGACCAGGCACGUUUCAUCAGAGGUCUCUUUCUUCUGAACAGAACAGAAUCAGCUGCCCUCCACCACUGCACCCAGCUGUUUUUUCACCCAAAAAGCCUGCUAUUAGUGCCAGCAGCUCUGAUUCUCCCAAGAUGGACAGUAAUGUCAGUAUGAAUCAAAUACAGAAACGGGGAUUUAAAAAGGCCAUGAAGUCCAAAGUCAGCAGUUCAGAGAUGGUGUUUUAUCCCAGAUCCAGUCAUCCUGCUCGUCUGUUGAAUGAAGAAUCUAUAUCUGACUGCAACUCUCUAGAGCAAUCAGACGUGAGGCCUUUUUCUACAACAUAUAUUGUUUCUUCUAAUGCCAGUUACUCAAGAAGACCUCUCUUUCUGGGUGAGAAGAGCCCUUUAAGUAAGCAGAGUGUCAUUCCUCUGCGAUCUCCUCAUUCCAUUCAAGAAGGGGUCGCAUCUGUACAGCCACAGCUCCCACGUACUCUUGUGUCGGAAAAGCACAGUGUUGUUACAUCCAUUGGCUGCAGUUUGCCGAAGUCAGAAGAUUACAGUACUGUGACUCCAAAACAGAAAUAUAGAUAUGAAAGGGCUGUUAAGACUGAUAAUGGCAGUUCAGAGCUUGUGGGCUCUUUCAGAUCCAGUCGUCCUUCUUUGCCAUUGAAUACAAAAUCUGCAUCUGACUGCAGCUCUCCAGAGCAGUCAGACAUGAGGUCUAGGACCUUCAUUAUUUCUGCUGAUGCCACUCAUACAAAACAGUCACUCACUGUGGGUAGGAAGAGCCCUUUAAGUAAGCCAAGACAAGAAUUGCAAAUGUCUCCUGUUAAGUGCAAACAAGGUGAUUCCCAGACAAUGGCUUUUUUUAUUAGGUCUCCAGAAACUAAUGCUGUGACAUGCUUGGGAGACUCUGUGUGUGAACAUGUAAUGGAAGCAGGUGCGUUUCAUCAGAGGUCUCUUUCUUCUGAAAAGCAAAACGGCUCUGAUUCUCCUAAACUUAAAGGUUACUCCCCUUUGAAUCCAAUAGAGAAAUUGAGAUCUAAAAAGGCCAUGAGACGCAAUAACAGCAGUUCAGAGCUUCUGGGUCCAUCUAGAACGAGUCAUCCUGUGAAUGCAGAAUCUAUAUUUGACUUCGAACAGCCAGACACAAGGGAUUCCUCUAGAGCCUACAUUUUUUCUUCGAAUGCCAGUCAGUCAAGAAGACAACUCCUUGAGGGUGAGAAGGGCCAUUAUAUAAAAGAAUUGCGGAGACCAGAGGAGAUAUCUUUUCUGACUCCUGUUAGAAACAAAAAUGGCGGCGGAACCAAGCCAGUGACUUACUACAAGGCUCCUAUGGUAGACUUUAAGGAUCACUGUAGUGAUGGAGUCCAUAAGGGUGAGUUUCUUCCAAGGUCUCCUGCCUCACAGCAAGGGAUAAGCAGCUCCAAACCACCACUUAAUGCUUUUUCAGUUGGAAAGCAGUCGCUGUUCUCCACAGAAGGAUAUCUAGUCAAGAAAAUAAGUGAGGCUAACCAGAUUCCUAAGAGGUGUCACUCCUCCUCUUCGGUGUUUCAGCAGAGCAACAGACCAGAUAUUGAGCCAGAGUUUGAAGAUCUCUAUCAAAGAAUGGUUCUUGGCAAGAGUGGUACUUCAUUUUGCACAGAGGGUAACAGAGUACGCGAAAACACCUCUCCUGCCAGCAUUCACAAUGCCAGAGUGGGGAAAAGGAUGGGUGAGUUUGAAGAUCAUACCUAUCCCGAGGCGAAAAGAUUCCAAGGGUUGUCUGACACCAUUAAUCAUGAGGGCUCUAGAAGCAAUGGGGGAAUGUCUCCAAUUUCUAGAAGCUCGUACAGUAUGUUGCAGCAAUAUAAGCAGAACUGA